UACGGAGGGUGCAAGCGUUAAUCGGAAUUACUGGGCGUAAAGCGUGCGCAGGCGGUUUGUUAAGUCCGUUGUGAAAGCCCCGAGCUCAACUUGGGAAUUGCAGUGGAUACUGGCAGGCUGGAGUACGGUAGAGGAAGGUGGAAUUCCCGGUGUAGCAGUGAAAUGCGUAGAUAUCGGGAGGAACACCAGUGGCGAAGGCGGCUUCCUGGACCGGUUCUGACACUGAGGAGCGAAAGCGUGGGGAGCGAUCCGG
rnacentral:rRNA from 1 species